rnacentral:rRNA from 1 species
UACCGAGGGUGCGAGCGUUAAUCGGAAUUACUGGGCGUAAAGCGUGCGUAGACGGCUAUCUAAGUCGGGUGUGAAAGCCCCGGGCUCAACCUGGGAAUUGCAUUCGAGACUGAAUAGCUAGGGUACGGUAGAGGGAAGCGGAAUUUCCGGUGUAGCGGUGAAAUGCGUAGAUAUCGGGAGGAACACCAGUGGCGAAGGCGACUACCUGGCCUGUUCUUGACGCUGAGGCGCGAAAGCUAGGGGAGCAAACGGG